rnacentral:tRNA from 1 species
GGCACUGUAGCCAAGUGGUUACGGCGUCACGUUUAGGUCUAGAGCCAAACCGUGAUGGGAAACCUCGCGAGUUCGAAUCUCGUCAGUGUCA